UACGUAGGGUGCAAGCGUUAAUCGGAAUUACUGGGCGUAAAGCGUGCGCAGGCGGUUGUGCAAGACAGAUGUGAAAUCCCCGGGCUUAACCUGGGAGCUGCCUUUGUGACUGUACGGCUAGAGUGUGUCAGAGGGGGGUAGAAUUCCACGUGUAGCAGUGAAAUGCGUAGAUAUGUGGAGGAAUACCGAUGGCGAAGGCAGCCCCCUGGGAUAACACUGACGCUCAUGCACGAAAGCGUGGGGAGCAAACAGG
rnacentral:rRNA from 1 species